rnacentral:piRNA from 1 species
UAAGCUCCCGGGGCAACCCUGAUCCUUU